CCUACAAUAAAUCCCCUAAUUUUAGGCAAUAUGUUACACUUGGCCCCCUUAAGCGUUUUGGAGGUCAGAAAUGUUAAGGGAGAAACACCAUGUGAGAGGCAUAUGAGUUUUAAUGAUUUUUAUUUUACCACAAAUGCCCUCAAUUCCCUCUUGAAAAACAAAAACAUUACACAACCAGAUUAUUUCUAGAACCUCGAAAAUACCAUAAUUUCGAGCCUCAGAUGAUAAAAUUCCCAGACUCUCAAACAACUCAAUUUCAAUCUCAACCUAAAAUAAAAUUUAGAUUCAUAACAAGUACUCUAUCAUAAUAUCCAUAACCACACGAUCAAGUAUCCAUAAUACUAUAAUAGAUUCAACCCCAUCAUUAAAGCCAAGUGAAAACUGCUCUUAGC
rnacentral:lncRNA from 1 species